AUGCUCCUCUUGGCAACACGUAUACUAAAACUGGAAUAAUACAGAGAAUUUUAGCAUGGCCCCCUCCAAGGAUGACAAGCAAAUUUGUGAGGCAUUUCAUGUUUUU
ensembl:snRNA U6 U6 spliceosomal RNA